rnacentral:rRNA from 1 species
AACGAACGCUGGCGGCAUGCCUAACACAUGCAAGUCGAACGAAACCUUCGGGUCUAGUGGCGCACGGGUGCGUAACGCGUGGGAACCUGCCCUUAGGUUCGGAAUAACUCCCCGAAAGGGGUGCUAAUACCGGAUAAUGUCUUCGGACCAAAGAUUUAUCGCCUUUGGAUGGGCCCGCGUUGGAUUAGCUAGUUGGUAGGGUAAAAGCAUACCAAGGCGACGAUCCAUAGCUGGUCUGAGAGGAUGAUCAGCCACACUGGGACUGCGACACGGCCCAGACUCCGACGGGAGGCAGCAGUGGGGAAUAUUGGACAAUGGGCGCAAGCCUGAUCAAGCAAUGCCGCGUGAGUGAUGAAGGCCUUAGGGUUGUAAAGCUCUUUUACCCGGGAUGAUAAUGACAGUACCGGGAGAAUAAGCUCCGGCUAACUCCGUG